rnacentral:rRNA from 1 species
CUUGGUUCUGGCAUCGAUGAAGAACGCAGCGAAAUGCGAUACGUAAUGUGAAUUGCAGAAUUCAGUGAAUCAUCGAAUCUUUGAACGCACAUUGCGCCCGCCAGCAUUCUGGCGGGCAUGCCUGUCCGAGCGUCAUUU